AGGCCGCAAUGCAUUUCCCACGGGGCUUUGUGUAUAUAGAAAGACCACAGCUCUUAGAGUAGAUAUUGGUCGUAUCAUUCGGUCAUUUCUUGACCAAAGGUGUUUAACUAUGUUCUUCCAAGAUAUCAUCUGUCUAAAAAACAUGCUUAGCUGCAUUCUUAAUAUCGACUGAAGAAUACAACUUCAACUAUAACUAUUUAUCCAGUCCACGGUGGGAUUUAGUGGAGAAUUGAAAUUUCCUGUGCCUUGCAACGAUGACUCAGGGCAGUCGGCAGACACCCUUACUCUGAGAUAACCGGAAAUGGGCUACCUUGGCAGUCAGUAAAAAGGACAAAUACAUGAGGCUGUGAGCUGGAUAUAAAUGAAAGAAUUUAAGACUAUAGUUUGUUUAUUUGUUCUGUCUAUGGCACUGAACUCUUAUUGCCUGGAUGAAGUGAGAA